rnacentral:rRNA from 1 species
CCUACGGGAGGCAGCAGUGAGGAAUAUUGGUCAAUGGGCGAGAGCCUGAACCAGCAAAGUCGCGUGAGGGAGUACUGCCCUAUGGGUUGUAAACCUCUUUUGUCGGGGAGCAAAAGACGGACGUGUCCGGCUGUGCGAGUACCCGAUGAAAAAGCAUCGGCUCACUCAGUGCCAGCAGCCGUGCUAAUACGGGGGAUGCAAGGGUUAACCGGAUUUUUUGGGUUUAAGGGGGGCGCACGCGGAGUUUUAAGUCAGAGUGCAAAUCGUGGGGCUAAACCUCAGACAGCCGUUGAAACUGGGGAGCUAGAGUGUACGAGAGGUAAGCGGAAUGCGUAGUGUAGCGGUGAAAUGCAUAGAUAUCACGCAGAACCCCAAGUGCGAAGGCAGCAUACCGGUGCACAACUGACGCUCAGGCACGAAAGCGUGGGUAUCGAACAGGAUUAGAUACCCCGGUAGUC